GCCGGGUGUGGUGGCGCGCACCUGUAAUCCCAGCUACUCAGGAGGCUGAGGCAGGAGAAUCGCUUGAACCUGGGAGGCGGAGGUUGCAGUGAGCUGAGAUUAUGCCACUGCACUCCAGCCUGGGUGACAGAAUGAGACUCAGUCUCAA
ensembl:misc_RNA Metazoa_SRP Metazoan signal recognition particle RNA